UCCCCCACAAUGACCCUGAACAUUCUGCCAACUACUUCCUUAUCAAGUGAGCCCUGGGAGGGCCAGCCCACCCCAAAUGACGGCCAAUCAAUUUCACAGAAUGUCUGGAGCUUUCCAGGAGUUAAUUUCACCCCAUAUACCCCUUUUUGAAAUUCUUCAACAUAUACUCUACGGGAAUGGAUUUACUCUUCUUUCCACCCAUUUUCUCCCCCUAACAGACAACUUUAAGGCACACGCGGGGAAAACAAGGAAGGAGGGGGACUAAUUUGGAGAGGACGCACACUCGCUUUGUCCGCUUCCGGCCGCUCCCCUCCCGGAGAUAUUUCAGGCGCCUCUUAGCCCUGGCGGGUUCAGUUUCAACCCCUGACCCGGAUGAGACUCCCGAGGAAGUCUGACACUGCCUUAAGCUGUAUGAGGUUGCCCCCGAACCGAGGAUCAGGACUCAACACUCUAGUCAGGGAAGGACACAACAUGGACUUGAAAUGCUUUUUGAAUGUUGCCAAUACUUUGCUACAAAAAGGAAGCCAUCAUCCUUGGAUUGUGUGUUAACUUCAGAUAACUGCAGCCCAGAAGAGGGGUCCUGUAGCAGGCAUUGGCAGCACCAGGAUUAACUUCUGUGGUAAUAGGGAUGAACUUGUUCCUGAUCAAUCUCAAAAAUUUGAUGAGGUCUUCAUAAAACAUGACUGGCAAGUAAAUUUAGAAUUGCUGGUAAUAGCAUAUAUAUAAAAAGGAUUUAUUGUAUGCCAGGUUCUUUUUUAAGCAUUUUAUACAUAGUAACUUAUUUAAUCCUUACCAUACCUCUGUGAGGCUGGUAUUAUUAUUAUCUUCGUUUUACAGAUGAAGAA